rnacentral:rRNA from 1 species
GAAGCUUGCUUCUAUGACGUUAGCGGCGGACGGGUGAGUAACACGUGGGCAACCUGCCUGUAAGACUGGGAUAACUUCGGGAAACCGAAGCUAAUACCGGAUAGGAUCUUCUCCUUCAUGGGAGAUGAUUGAAAGAUGGUUUCGGCUAUCACUUACAGAUGGGCCCGCGGUGCAUUAGCUAGUUGGUGAGGUAACGGCUCACCAAGGCAACGAUGCAUAGCCGACCUGAGAGGGUGAUCGGCCACACUGGGACUGAGACACGGCCCAGACUCCUACGGGAGGCAGCAGUAGGGAAUCUUCCGCAAUGGACGAAAGUCUGACGGAGCAACGCCGCGUGAGUGAUGAAGGCUUUCGGGUCGUAAAACUCUGUUGUUAGGGAAGAACAAGUACGAGAGUAACUGCUCGUACCUUGACGGUACCUAACCAGAAAGCCACGGCUAACUACGUGCCAGCAGCCGCGGUAAUACGUAGGUGGCAAGCGUUAUCCGGAAUUAUUGGGCGUAAAGCGCGCGCAGGCGGUUUCUUAAGUCUGAUGUGAAAGCCCACGGCUCAACCGUGGAGGGUCAUUGGAAACUGGGGAACUUGAGUGCAGAA